rnacentral:rRNA from 1 species
UACGGAGGGGGCGAGCGUUGUUCGGAAUCAUUGGGCGUAAAGGGCGCGUAGGCGGCCGUCCAAGUCGGGUGUGAAAUCCCUCGGCUCAACCGAGGAACUGCGUCCGAUACUGAAAGGCUUGAAUCCGGGAGAGGGAUGUGGAAUUCCAGGUGUAGCGGUGAAAUACGUAGAUAUCAGGAGGAACACCGGUGGCGAAGGCGGCGACCUGGUCCAAUAUUGACACUCAUACACGAAAGCGUGGGGAUCAAACAGG